rnacentral:misc_RNA from 1 species
UUGGUCGAGAACUGUCGUCGCCUCGCUCGCCUGACGGCAGACGUCCCCCCCAUCCGCCCCAGCUCCCCCGUUGCCGAUGCGGGCCUCCUCGUCCUCGCUCCCCUAUCACUUGGCACCUCCAGGGCAUCCCCUUCCCAUGGGGAUGGCGACAGCGUCCCCGCCUGGGAAGGACGAACACACUUCUUUGAGACUUGGCUGCCCCAGGGCAACCUACUCCUUAAGAAUCGCCUGGUGUUCGCCUUCUUGGAUAACCCUGCGGUUAUCCCGGACAUCUCUGCCUUCGUCAGUGCCGCUCUCGGGUCUACGUGCCCCGACAUCCAUGUCGAGCUCCUCCCAUCUACACGGGGGUCAAGCUCCUGUGGUUCGCCAACAGCUCAGACCGAGAGCGGCUGCGGGCCCUCAGCCCCAUCAGAUUUGAGGGGUCGUCCCUUACCUUGA